UACGUAGGGUGCGAGCGUUGUCCGGAAUUACUGGGCGUAAAGGAGCUCGUAGGUGGUUUGUCGUCGUUGUUCGUGAAAACUCACAACUCAAUUGUGGGCGUGCGGGCGAUACGGGCAGACUGGAGUACUGCAGGGGAGACUGGAAUUCCUGGUGUAGCGGUGGAAUGCGCAGAUAUCAGGAGGAACACCGGUGGCGAAGGCGGGUCUCUGGGCCGAUACUGACGCUGAGGAGCGAAAGCGUGGGGAGCGAACAGG
rnacentral:rRNA from 1 species